UCGUAAAAGGGGACGCGGAGGAGAAGGAAAGUCGCUCAAGCAGUGGACAGAGCGGAGAAAGCGACUUCGGGUUGGUUGAAGGGUCUGCUGGAGUUUGCUGGAGGUGCACUCCAGACUCUGUUUGCCUGCCUAUCACCAACAGAGGCUGCAGAACAGCAAAGAUUGCUGUCUGUAACUUCCUCUGGAAGCUUCAUCCCAGAGGGGCACCUGCCAGAUGCCAGCCGGAGCUCUCCUCUAUGAGUGAAUGAAGGAGGGAAGAAAGGAGAGACAGAGAAAAUAUGGGUGAGUAGUGUCUCCAUCUGAGAUUUUUUUCUCAGUAAGAUCAUGUCUUUUUGGCUCCAUUCCACUACUUCCUUCAUUGGACUGCAAGGUAUUUCUGUUUGGAAAAGUAAUGGAGUCCAGUCAACUUCAUUGAUCGCCAAGGACUGUCAAAAUUAUAAAACUUGCUGUGGAGCUCUGACAUGCCAGAAGCCGCUAGAAAAAGAAGUUUGACAUUCAGAAACUUAUCAAGAGGUUCUACUCUUUGGAUAGAGACCAAAAUCAUACUUUGAAAAAGCCUGACAGGUUUCUUCGGAAAAGUGGCCAUCCAUGGAAUGAAUGAAAUGUUCUCUUUCUAUUCCAAUCCAACUUAGAAAUAAUGUUUCAUUCAAGAUAAGGCUCGUGGCUUAGGAGAUUGUGACCUGGCUUGCAUCAUUCUAAGACUUCUAUCGUCUGUUUUCAAAACCCAAGGAGGACCUCCUUUUCUGUGUGAUAGUUCCUCAUGCUUUGCCAGCCACUGGGUCUUUAAGGAAGCUUGCCAAGAGUUCCCGGCUGGGAAGGACAGUUCGAGUUCAUCAUAGACAAUGAGCUGGCACCACAGUUUAAGUGACUCACCAACCUGGUUGCCCACUUCAAAAUGUCAAGAACCACACUAUCUAAUUGAAAGAACUGUGUUUUAGCAAAGUGUAAUUGGAUCGCCUGGCAAGAUCAUCUCAAACUAUGUCUCUGACCUUGCCUUUCAGUGGCUAUUUUGAGCACAAGAGGAGAAAGGAAAUGAUUCCUGAAUUAUAUCUUGUUUUUAAAAAUUAAGAUUAAUUAAUACUUGGUUUUAUGUUCAUUCCAUUGUAGGAACUUAGUGAUUAUUACAAAACAGUCAAAAUAGGUCAUAGCAAAAUGAACGUUUAAGAUUAGGUUAAAACAUUCCUCUGAAAUUUUAGUAUUCACUUUUGAAGUGUCAAUUACUAUAUUUCUGUAAUUUCUCAUUUUUUUCUUGGCUUAGAGUCAAGAUGAAAAAUGAUAUUUGAAUCAAAGACAUUGUUUUGUUAUAUAGCCACUCCUUUCUAAAAUGCAAAUCCACCCUCCCCUCACCAAUGCUUUAUUCUUUGUGCGCGCACACACACACACACACACACACACACACACACACACACACAGACAUACACAGAACCAGCACCCAAAUGGUAGAGGAGGUCCUUCCAAGACUUCUAGGACCUGGAUCAUGUAAGCAGUAGAUGAGAAAAUGAAGUAAGAGAUAUAGAGUAAUAACAAUAAAAGUCAAUGAUUUCAUUUUACAAAAAAGUCAUUGUGUAGUACUCAGAUAUUUUUAAGAGCAAGUAUUAUUAUGACUAAAGUAUAUUAUACUUCUAAAUUAUUAUGAUUCUCAUCUAAUUUCAAGCCACACAUAGGCGCCAUUUGAAAGCAUUUUGUGUUACAACCUAUCAACAAAAAUCAACUAAUAGUUUUAUAACGUGCAUAGGUUUACCCCAUGGGGAAUUAAAAUUUUUAUCUGCAAGUAUUUCUGUUGUUGUGAGACUUUAGGACAAGACAACAUUUGGUGUUAACAUAGAAGAAUAUUCUAUGGCUUUUUUAGCUUUAAAGUUCAUUACUCUAAAAUAAAGUACACGUGGUAUUUUUUUCUUCCUAGUGUUCUCUUAUUAUAUGUAGAGUAUUUUCGGUUGUUGUUUUUAACGUAUACAUUAUUUUUAUUAAGUCAUUUCAUAAAAGAUAAGAUAUAUACUAAUAGACCCUUGGUUUUCUCCUAAUUUAAUUAUUUCAAGUCAAGCAAAAUUGGGCAAUUUUCUUUCAGGAAAAAAAAAAUAUUGAGCAUGAUUUUGAGGUAAAACUGAUUAUUUACAGCAUCUUUUCUCUAAUAGGCUAACAUUUAUGAUGGAUCUUAUUUCAAAGUUGAUUAUUCUCAAAGAAAAGUGGAGAUAUUAGAAUUUCCGAGUAAAUUGCAUUGUUUUAAAAAGUACUUUAAUGCAUUGUUCACAUUGUUGCCAGCUAUUGACCAAAAAAGAGAAGAAGAAAAAAGAAAUAAAAAAAGCAGUAUCUGCUCCAAACGUCAAGUUUUGCAGUUUGAAAGACUUGUACAUUAUAAUUGUUUUUUUCUUUUUUGGAAAGCAGUAGUAAUUAAUACCAAAGGCAUAGACAAUUUAGGGCCAUAACCUCCCUUCCCCCCUCUCCACCUUUUUUUUU
ensembl:lncRNA SOX2-OT SOX2 overlapping transcript